GGGGGCGACAGGCUUCGACGGGUUUGGCGAGGAUAUCGCUGCGUGCCCAGGUCGUCAGUCACCUGGUAAAACCACUGGCAAAUUUCAUAACUGCCAAUUCAAACCUGGCACUGGCUNNNNNNACGGGUCGCGUAAGAGCAGGUAAGGGCUAGUUGCCGCCGGGGCCGGCGAGGCGCCCCGAUGGUGAGACCUCCAAAGCCUUGUCUACGCACGUAGGAGCGGUAUCGGAGUCAUUCUCGGACCGGGGUUCGAUUCCCCGCGCCUCCAUGC
rnacentral:tmRNA from 1 species